rnacentral:rRNA from 1 species
UACAGAGGGGGCAAGCGUUGUUCGGAAUUACUGGGCGUAAAGGGCGCGUAGGCGGCCUGUUAAGUCGAACGUGAAAUCCCCGGGCUCAACCCGGGAACUGCGUCCGAUACUGGCAGGCUUGAAUCCGGGAGAGGGAUGCGGAAUUCCAGGUGUAGCGGUGAAAUGCGUAGAUAUCUGGAGGAACACCGGUGGCGAAGGCGCAUCCUGGACCGGCAUUGACGCUGAGGCGCGAAAGCCAGGGGGAGCAAACGGG